AUUGAACGCUGGCGGCAGGCCUAACACAUGCAAGUCGAGCGAGCGGCGGACGGGUGAGUAAUGUAUGGUGAUCUGCGCGUUAGCGGGGUAUAACUACUGGAAACGGUAGCUAAUACCGCAUACUAUCGGAUGAACCCUUAGGGGAUUAGCUAGUUGGAGGGGUAAAGGCUCACCAAGGCAACGAUCCGUAGCUGGUUUGAGAGGACGACCAGCCACACUGGGACUGAGACACGGCCCAGACUCCUACGGGAGGCAGCAGUGGGGAAUCUUGGACAAUGGAGGAAAGCCUGAUCCAGCCAUCCCGCGUGUAUGAUGAAGGCCUUCGGGUUGUAAAGUACUUUUGGCAGAGAAGCGGUAUCUGCAGAGUAAGCAACGGCUAACUACGUGCCAGCAGCCGCGGUAAUUC
rnacentral:rRNA from 1 species